rnacentral:rRNA from 1 species
GAGUUUGAUCCUGGCUCAGAUUGAACGCUGGCGGCAUGCCUUACACAUGCAAGUCGAACGACGCUAGGGGCAACUCUAGCGAGUGGCGUACGGGUGAGUAAUGCAUCGGAACGUGCCCUCUCGUGGGGGAUAACCAGUCGAAAGAUUGGCUAAUACCGCAUGAGCUCGAGAGAGGAAAGCGGGGGACCGCAAGGCCUCGCGCGAGAGGAGCGGCCGAUGCCCGAUUAGCUAGUUGGUGGGGUAAUGGCCCACCAAGGCGACGAUCGGUAGCUGGUCUGAGAGGACGACCAGCCACACUGGGACUGAGACACGGCCCAGACUCCUACGGGAGGCAGCAGUGGGGAAUUUUGGACAAUGGGGGCAACCCUGAUCCAGCCAUGCCGCGUGUGUGAAGAAGGCCUUCGGUUGUAAG